GCGCCCGUAGCUCAGCUGGAUAGAGCGCUUGCCUCCGGAGCAAGAGGUCACAGGUUCAAAUCCUGUCGGGCGUACCA
rnacentral:tRNA from 3 species